AACUCGAACGCCGCCAUGAAGAACCAGCGCGCUAAAAUGGUUGUCGUUUUAUUUUUAAAAUUACGUUUAAGCCACUAGCUUCUAUAUGAAUUUUCUUCGAGGUACACCCAUCAAGUUGCAAGUUCCAUCAGAAAUUCUGCUGAAAUCCAUCAGAGUUUGCAAGUUCCAUCACAGAUAAUAACAAUCGUCAGAGAUAAAGAAAAGAAAAAAAAUAAUUUUUUUUUUGGAUGUAUCCUAAUGAGAGAAUCUUCAGAAAAUGUGACUAGAGAGGAAGUUCGUCACGGAUUUUAUCAGUCUCGUUUUCAUCCUUCUUCCGCUCUUUCAUUUAUGCUAGAUCCGUUGAUAGAGAUGGAUGCUGUCGAGAUACGGAUGCUGUUUCCUAUGGAUGUCACGUUGGAAGAACGACUGCUGUUGUGACAGAAUGGGUUGCAGCGUUGGUAGGCAAAGUGUUUUAAAGGGCAAUAUCGAGCCACAAUUAUCUAAAAAUUUAACACCGCAACAAAUACAAUUAGUAAGAUCGACUUGGUCCAUAGUUUCGCAGGACAUGGUCGGCGUUGGAACCAUCGUGUUUCAAAGAUUUCUUACUAGGCAUCCGGAAUUAUGUAAAAUGUUUCGGAAGUUCAUGACCCUGAAGGAUGACGGAACGUACGACUGGGAUUUAGAAGAACUUCAACGCCAUGCUCUACUGGUUAUGCAAGCUUUAGAAGCGGCCAUAGAUAAUUUGGAUGAUAGUCGAGUGUUGGCUGGAAUUUUAUACGAUUUAGGAAGAAGGCACGCCAGAUACAACGUCCAGGAACAAAUGUUUGAUAAAUUGUGGGAAGCUUUGAGGUACGGACUAGAGAAAUCUCUCCAAAACAGGAUGACGAGGGAAGUGAACCAAGCUUGGUUUGCUGUGUUCAAAUACAUAUCGUGGCAAGUUAUUAAAGGUAUGAGGGACACUUACGCUAAAGGUAUAGACUAACCUUACUUGUCGUCGAGAAAUAAAUUCUGUACAAAAUUACAUUUUUAAUGUAUUAAAAAAAUAAAAAUUUCAAAGGUAAAAUGUGUGUCUUUGACCUCAUUUAUCUACUCGGAUUUCGAUGUUUUAACCACUUUUAUUUACCAUUUACCGGUGAAACCUAUGAUUUAUAGUCACGUAAUAAAGCUUCUACUGUGAUGUAACACGUGUUCGAAUGCAAAAACCCUAUCGACCAAUGGGUAUGGACCACUAAUUUUUAAAUGCUUGCCUCGUCGUGCCAUUUGUUUAACAUCAUCAUGAAUGAAGAGAACAAAAUGGCGACUUUUUCACGAUGAACUAUCUAGCGAUAUUGGAAGAGCAUUAUAAAAAAAGAAGAAAACUAUUCGGAAAGAUUAACGAAUAAUCAAGGAUUUUUGUAACUGCCACACACGAAAUCUUCCUCGCUCCUCGACGUUAUCAAAUCUCGAAGAGAAAAUUCACGGAAAACAGGAAGUGUGGCGGAGAAUGAGGGAUCGAUUUCUGUUACCAUGGCAACGACCUACAGGAAGGUCAAGCUAUAAGCUUACUUCAAGGUCAACAGUUGGGUAAUGAACUUGUUCGUGUUG